AGUGAACGCUGGCGGUAGGCCUAACACAUGCAAGUCGAACGGCAGCACAGUAAGAGCUUGCUCUUACGGGUGGCGAGUGGCGGACGGGUGAGGAAUACAUCGGAAUCUACUUUUUCGUGGGGGAUAACGUAGGGAAACUUACGCUAAUACCGCAUACGACCUACGGGUGAAAGCAGGGGAUCUUCGGACCUUGCGCGAUUGAAUGAGCCGAUGUCGGAUUAGCUAGUUGGCGGGGUAAAGGCCCACCAAGGCGACGAUCCGUAGCUGGUCUGAGAGGAUGAUCAGCAACACUGGAACUGAGACACGGUCCAGACUCCUACGGGAGGCAGCAGUGGGGAAUAUUGGACAAAGGGCGCAAGCCUGAUCCAGCCAUACCGCGUGGGUGAAGAAGGCCUUCGGGUUGUAAAGCCCUUUUGUUGGGAAAGAAAAGCAGCAGGUUAAUACCCCGCUGUUCUGACGGUACCCAAAGAAUAAGCACCGACUAACUUCGUG
rnacentral:rRNA from 1 species